GAUGAACGCUGGCGGCGUGCCUAAUACAUGCAAGUCGAGCGAACAGACGAGAAGCUUGCUCCUCUGACGUUAGCGGCGGACGGGUGAGUAACACGUGGAUAACCUACCUAUAAGACUGGGAUAACUUCGGGAAACCGGAGCUAAUACCGGAUAAUAUAUUGAACCGCAUGGUUCAAUAGUGAAAGACGGUUUUGCUGUCACUUAUAGAUGGAUCCGCGCCGCAUUAGCUAGUUGGUAAGGUAACGGCUUACCAAGGCAACGAUGCGUAGCCGACCUGAGAGGGUGAUCGGCCACACUGGAACUGAGACACGGUCCAGACUCCUACGGGAGGCAGCAGUAGGGAAUCUUCCGCAAUGGGCGAAAGCCUGACGGAGCAACGCCGCGUGAGUGAUGAAGGUCUUCGGAUCGUAAAACUCUGUUAUUAGGGAAGAACAUAUGUGUAAGUAACUAUGCACGUCUUGACGGUACCUAAUCAGAAAGCCACGGCUAACUACGUG
rnacentral:rRNA from 1 species